UACGGGGGGGGCAAGCGUUGUUCGGAAUUACUGGGCGUAAAGGGCUCGUAGGCGGCCACCUAAGUCAGGCGUGAAAUCCCUCGGCUUAACCGGGGAACUGCGUCUGAUACUGGAUGGCUUGAGUUUGGGAGAGGGAUGCGGAAUUCCAGGUGUAGCGGUGAAAUGCGCAGAUAUCAGGAGGAACACCAAUGGCGAAGGCAGCACUCUGGGACGUGACUGACGCUGAGACGCGAAAGCGUGGGGAGCAAACAGG
rnacentral:rRNA from 1 species